rnacentral:tRNA from 1 species
GCCUUUAUAGCUUAAUUGGUAGAGUAUGUCCUUGGUAAGGACAUGAAUAACGGUUCAACUCCGUUUAAAGGCU